AACGAACGCUGGCGGCGUGCCUAACACAUGCAAGUCGUGCGAGAAAGUUCCUUCGGGAGCGAGUAAAGCGGCGCACGGGUGAGUAACACGUAGGUAACCUGCCCCCCAGUCUGGAACAACUAGAGGAAACUCUAGCUAAUGCCGGAUGAGACCACGAUCCCUUCGGGGGUUGCGGCCAAAGAUGGCCUCUACUUGUAAGCUAUCGCUGAGGGAUGGGCCUGCGGGCCAUUAGCUUGUUGGUGAGGUAACGGCUCACCAAGGCUGUGAUGGCUAGCUGGUCUGAGAGGAUGACCAGCCACACUGGGACUGAGACACGGCCCAGACUCCUACGGGAGGCAGCAGUGGGGAAUAUUGCGCAAUGGGCGAAAGCCUGACGCAGCGACGCCGCGUGGGUGAUGAAGGCCUCGGGUCGUAAAGCCCUGUCGCAGGGAAGGAAGUAAGGACAUCGGUAGUAAUACGCCGGU
rnacentral:rRNA from 1 species